rnacentral:rRNA from 1 species
AUUGAACGCUGGCGGCAUGCCUUACACAUGCAAGUCGAACGGUAACAGGUCUUCGGAUGCUGACGAGUGGCGAACGGGUGAGUAAUACAUCGGAACGUGCCCGAGAGUGGGGGAUAACGGAGCGAAAGCUUUGCUAAUACCGCAUACGAUCUACGGAUGAAAGCAGGGGACCGCAAGGCCUUGCGCUCAUGGAGCGGCCGAUGGCAGAUUAGGUAGUUGGUGGGAUAAAAGCUUACCAAGCCGACGAUCUGUAGCUGGUCUGAGAGGACGACCAGCCACGCUGGGACUGAGACACGGCCCAGACUCCUACGGGAGGCAGCAGUGGGGAAUUUUGGACAAUGGGCGCAAGCCUGAUCCAGCCAUGCCGCGUGCAGGAUGAAGGCCUUCGGGUUGUAAACUGCUUUUGUACGGAACGAAAAGCCUCGGGCUAAUAUCCUGGGGUCAUGACGGUACCGUAAGAAUAAGCACCGGCUAACUACGUGCCAGCCGCCGCAGUAACAC